AACAACAGCUGCUGUGCACUUUUUGACAAGUACAUGUUAGAGCUGUUUUUUCUUGGGCUCUGUGCAGAGUUCUGUGCAAGUUCAUCAGAGUGCUGAAGGGCCUGUGUUGGAAAAGGCUGAAGAGUCUUCACUGGAAGCCUGGAGACAGAUAUCCAAAGGUGACAGUGAAGAUUGGAGCUCCUACAGAACCACCAUGAAGAUGAUUUUCCCAGCACCUGCAAAUUGACUUCUUGUCUCUGCUCUGAUGACAUCAAUAUCAUUCAAGUACUGUCAACAGUUGAAUUUGAUUGUGUCCAUGAACCUGAAUGUA